AGAGUUUGAUCAUGGCUCAGAUUGAACGCUGGCGGCAGGCCUAACACAUGCAAGUCGAGCGGUAGAGAGAAGCUUGCUUCUCUUGAGAGCGGCGGACGGGUGAGUAAUGCCUAGGAAUCUGCCUGGUAGUGGGGGAUAACGUUCGGAAACGGACGCUAAUACCGCAUACGUCCUACGGGAGAAAGCAGGGGACCUUCGGGCCUUGCGCUAUCAGAUGAGCCUAGGUCGGAUUAGCUAGUUGGUGAGGUAAUGGCUCACCAAGGCGACGAUCCGUAACUGGUCUGAGAGGAUGAUCAGUCACACUGGAACUGAGACACGGUCCAGACUCCUACGGGAGGCAGCAGUGGGGAAUAUUGGACAAUGGGCGAAAGCCUGAUCCAGCCAUGCCGCGUGUGUGAAGAAGGUCUUCGGAUUGUAAAGCACUUUAAGUUGGGAGGAAGGGCAGUAACUUAAUACGUUGCUGUUUUGACGUACCGACAGAAUAG
rnacentral:rRNA from 1 species